GAUGAAGAACGUAGCGAAAUGCGAUACGUAAUGUGAAUUGCAGAAUUCAGUGAAUCAUCGAAUCAUUGAACGCAUAUUGCGCUCUCUGGUAUUCCGGAGAGCAUGCUUGUUUGAGUAUCAGUAAACACCUCAACUUCCAUAUCUUUUUUGAAAUGGGAGUUGGACUUGAGUGAUCCCAACGCUUUUCCUCACCGAAAAGUGGCGGGUUACUUGAAAUGCAGGUGCAGCUGGACUUUUCUCUGAGCUAUAAGCAUAUCUAUUUAGUCUGCCUAAAAAACAGAUUAUUACCUUUGCUGCAGCUAACAUAAAGGAGAUUAGUUCUUGUGCUGACUGCUGCAGGAUUCACAAAGACGGCUUCGGCCGACUUUGUAAACUCGAUCUCAAAUCAAGUAAGACUACCCGCUGAACUUAAGCAUAUCAAUAAGCGGAGGA
rnacentral:misc_RNA from 1 species